rnacentral:lncRNA from 10 species
CUGAAAGCAGACAACUUGCAAUAAUGUGAUUACGGAGUUGGGAGUCAAGAAAUACAUAUUAUAAAAGGAAAAGAAUUCUUAAAUCAUUCCAAGACAAGGAGACAUCAGCAAAAACAGUGAGAUAAUUUAUGUUUCCAAAAUGACAUAGAACAUCAGAAUUCAUUAAAGUGUUUUAUGAACUAUAGGACACAUCUCUUAGCCCUUUAGUUCCAGGCAUUCCUUAAUCUUUCUUAUUAGCUUUAGUUGUAAGUUUCUUUGGGUUAUGGACCCUUUUGAGAAGCUGAUUGAAUGCACAUGUCAUCUCCUCAGAAAAAUGCAUAUAUGCUUAUGAAUGUAAUGAUUAUGAAAUAACUUCAGGGAUUUCAUGGAUCUCCUGAGAGCCCAACUAUAAAGAAACAGGUUAAAAAUCUCUGGGUUAGAGGAGUCUUAGUGGAAUUCCUUAGUGAUUUGUGUCAUCCCUGUGCUUUCUAGGAUUUCUCAAGGCAAGAAACAUACCCUCUCUCCAACUCCAUCACACUCAAUGGAUAUAGGAAGAUCUAGGAUUACCCAGACCUGAGGCACUCUUUAUGAAUCUCAGUCUAAGAGCAUCUUUUUGACAAUGAAAGGAUAAAACAGACUGGAAAUUUUCUAUAUUUCCUUACACCACUUGGUAACUCACAACAUUAAAAGGAUUCUGCGCACAAGAUUAUCAUUAAUUAUAGUAAUAGCUUGAUUGAACAAAUUAAGUACCUUGAUAAUUGUAAACGACAUUCAGCAUUUCUUGAUGCAUGGCAAUCCCUGAUACCUACUAAACAGAAGCCUCCACUGUACUGGACAAGGGUGGAGUGCAGUGUCGCUAUCCUGGCUCUCCUGGCUCACUGCAGCCUGGACUUCCCCAGCUCAGGUGGAGUAACUGCAACUGUGGUUGUCUCAGGGGUGC